AUGAGCCACCAGGCCCACGCUCUUGUAUUUUGACCCCCUUAUUUAGGAAACGUUUUCUUGUCUGUCAGAGUGAGGGCAGGUGGUUUGCCCCUGCCACUUUGCUUUUUUUUUUUGGAGACAGAGUCUCACUCUGUUGCCCAGGCUGGAGUACAGUGGUGUGAUCUCGGCUCACUGCAACCUCCGCCUCCCGGGUUCAAGUGAUUCUCCUGCCUCAGCGUCCCGAGUAGCUUUGAUUACAGGGGCCAGCAGCCUCCCCCGAUGGGUCAUCAGCAACGAGGGUGCCUCAGGAUGUGACGCAGGGCCCUGGGGCCACAGGUGGAAAGGAGGACAGCGGGAUGAUUCCCUUAGGCACCGCCCCUGGGGCUGAGGGGCCGGCGCCUGGGGACUCCCAGGCUGUGCGCCCCUACAAGCAGGAGCCCAGCAGCCCCCCGCUGGCGCCUGGCCUGCCCGCCUUCCUAGCGGCCCCGGGCACCACGUCCUGCCCCGAGUGCGGCAAAACGUCCCUGAAACCAGCUCACCUGCUGCGCCACCGGCAGAGCCACUCGGGCGAGAAGCCGCACGCCUGCCCUGAGUGCGGGAAGGCCUUUCGGCGCAAGGAGCACCUGCGGCGCCACCGCGACACGCACCCCGGCAGCCCCGGCAGCCCCGGGCCCGCGCUGCGCCCUCUGCCCACCCGUGAGAAGCCCCAC
rnacentral:sRNA from 1 species